UACAGAGGUCUCAAGCGUUGUUCGGAUUCAUUGGGCGUAAAGGGCGUGUAGGCGGUCAGGUAAGUGGGAUGUGAAAUGCCCCGGCUCACCCGGGGACCGGCAUCCCAUACUGCUUGGCUUGAGUACGGGAGAGGAUGUGGGAAUUCCUGGUGUAGCGGUGAAAUGCGUAGAUAUCAGGAGGAACACCGGUGGCGAAGGCGCACAUCUGGCCCGAUACUGACGCUGAGGUGCGAAAGCGUGGGGAGCAAACAGG
rnacentral:rRNA from 1 species